CAGAAUGUACAUUUCAAGGAGAGGGCAGGAGGGAGUGCCCUCUGACGACCUGGGUCCAGCUCAUCAAUCGACUUCUGGUCACAUCCUCUCGAUGACCACCCCCAACACAUUCCUUCGCCACACCUUCCUCAUUUCCCACAAAAAUUUCCCCUAAUUACUCCUAACAGAAGCAAGUCCACAUUACCUCAAAACCUGCUAGCUUUGCAUCCAGCCUGCACACCAGGUUAUUCAACCUUGGCCUCUGGUCCUUUUGGAGGGUGUUUUUAAACCACCUCCCAAGAGACUCAAUUUGCCAAAAAAAUUAUAACUCACUUAUUUGAUAUUCUGUGAAAAACAUGUCAUUUCAGGUUGGCCUUGUCCUCCCAUCCAGUAUAUCAUCCCACUCUGCAUUCUACAACAAAUAACACAUUUUUUAAAGAAAAAAAAAAACAACACAGUCAUCUAUUUGUCAUUUGGAAUUCUUCACAUCAGUACUGGCUUCCGUUAUUUCCACUAAUUAAACUGAUUUAUGUUGUCAAUUUCUAAGUGAAUACUCAUGUAAAUGGCAGUGUUAAUAAUAUUUUAAGGCAUCGUUUCCUCCUUUUUCAUCUAGUUCAAUAAUUUGACAAUGAUUGGAGGCACAGGUGAUCACGUCACUGUGCUGAUGCCGACAGCUUCCCGCAUGGACCGCACCAUCUACUGUCAGGAGCUCGGAAAGAACUGAACAGAAUUCUGUACAGCAACACACCAGAGCAGGCUGAACCUGAGAAGUGCUAAAUUUGGAGAGUAAAUGAUGUGUGUUGAGAGCUAAAGAAGGAGACCACUUUGGCCAGGACACUGGAGGUGAUUCCAUGAAGACUGGAGCUGGGUCACCCUAGUCCUCGCUACUAAAAGUGGUCUUUGAACAACAACACGGACCUCGCGUGGGAGCUUGUGAAAAGUUCAGAAUCUUGGAUGCCAGGCCAGACCUACAGAGUCAGAAUUGGUCAUUUUGACAAGACCCCCAGAUGAUUCCUGUGGGCAUUAAAGUUUGAGAACCACUGAUUUAACUACUUUUGGAAUUGAUAGAGAUACAUGGGCAUAUUGCUCUUCAUCUUGUCCACAGGAGCAAUUCUCUCACUGUUCAUACUGUCCGCACGGUUCGCUGAGCCAGGGUAGGCAAGGCGUUAGCUAAAAGGCCGAAAGAAGACGCGAGGAGCUGGAGGAGCUGCGGACGCGUUCAUUCCCUUCCGGCGGACGCGUUCAUUCCCUUCCGGCGGACGCGUUCAUUCCCUUCCGGCGGACGCGUUCAUUCCCUUCCGGCGGACGCAUUCAUUCCCUUCCGGCGGACGCGUUCAUUCCCUUCCGGCUGACGCGUUCAUUCUCUUCCGGCUGACGCGUUCAUUCUCUUCUGGCUGACGCAGCAGCCGUAACAGUAUUUUCUCCUGACUGACGCACCCGCCGUAGCAUUCACGCUUUAUUCUCGCCUCUCAUGGCCGAUCCAAGGGACAGAGCCGUGACGCAGCAGUAAAUCCCUAUGCUUUUUGGGUGGCGCUCUUAUCUCCCUACAGCACAAAGUAAUUCAUGACGGUGCGCAGUGUUAUAAAUGAGCUCAGCUGUUGGUCAUUAUUUACAAAAUGUGGGGCAAGAGCGAGUGGCCAGGGAGCAGAAGAGCCUGACACGCCAUCUUGGCUAAUUUGCUCUUUACCUACAAGGGGUAACGUAAUAGAAGCCAGACUAUGAAAGGGUGCUUGAGGAGAGGCAGGUAGGCAGGGAGGAUUUACAGAGUACAUAGGAGGGUUUAUGUCUGCUAUCUAACAGUAGAAAUAAAAACUCCACGACCACUUACUAUCAGCCAGUGAUUGUGCUGAGUGACUAAUACAAUGCUCUUUCAUUUCACACUCAACAACCCGGUGAGGAGACGCUGCAUCACUUUUCAGAUGAGGAAGCUGAGACAUACAGAGGUUGAGUAACUUCUCAAGUCCACACAGAAAAGAGCAGAGCCAGGCUUCCCCCUGAGCUAGAGCUCUAGGCCAUUCCCUGCUGUAAGCCUUGGAUUCUCUGGACCAGCGAUGAAUCCCGGUCCACAGCUUCCUGAUAAACGUUCCCCUGAAGUGCAGUCAAAGGGCCUGCAUCUGACAGGUGAUGCAUCCAAGGAAGCCCAAGCUCUAUCCCUCCAUACUUCCAUAUCCCUUCAUCCUGAUAAAAUCAGGAGAGAAGACAAGAAGAUUGUUCUAGUGAUUAAGGUCCUCUGACCAGUCCUGGUCCAGAUCUACACUCCAGAAAGCCCAAGGAAUGGGGGGGACAUGAAAUAACUGCCAACCAGGAAGUAAGAAGGGUGACUCAAACACCAUUGAAGAGGAUAAAGCAAGUCAGCUUUCUCAAGAUUUCAAAGCAUCAUAAACAUUGCUUUUACCGCAUUUUCCUUUUCUUCAGUCUUGACAAACUUUCAUUCCCCUCCACACCCUGCAGGUGAAUUUCAGAGC